rnacentral:rRNA from 1 species
GUGUCAGCCGCCGCGGUAACACGGGGGGAGCAAGCGUUGUUCGGAAUCACUGGGCGUAAAGGGCGUGUAGGCGGUCAGGUAAGUGGAAUGUGAAAGCCCUCGGCUCACCCGAGGAUCUGCAUUCCAAACUGCCUGGCUUGAGUAUGGGAGAGGAUGAGGGAAUUCCUGGUGUAGCGGUGAAAUGCGUAGAUAUCAGGAGGAACACCGGUGGCGAAGGCGCUCAUCUGGCCCAAUACUGACGCUGAGGCGCGAAAGCUAGGGGAGCAAACGGGAUUAGAAACCCCCGUAGUCC